rnacentral:rRNA from 1 species
UUGAACAUACCAAUUGUUGCCUCGGCGGAUCAGCCCGCUCCCGGUAAAACGGGACGGCCCGCCAGAGGACCCCUAAACUCUGUUUCUAUAUGUAACUUCUGAGUAAAACCAUAAAUAAAUCAAAACUUUCAACAACGGAUCUCUUGGUUCUGGCAUCGAUGAAGAACGCAGCAAAAUGCGAUAAGUAAUGUGAAUUGCAGCAAUUCAGUGAAUCAUCGCAAUCUUUGAACGCACAUUGCGCCCGCCAGUAUUCUGGCGGGCAUGCCUGUUCGAGCGUCAUUUCAACCCUCAAGCCCCCGGGUUUGGUGUUGGGGAUCGGCGAGCCCUUGCGGCAAGCCGGCCCCGAAAUCUAGUGGCGGUCUCGCUGCAGCUUCCAUUGCGUAGUAGUAAAACCCUCGCAACUGGUACGCGGCGCGGCCAAGCCGUUAAACCCCCAACUUCUGAAUGUUGACCUCGGAUCAGGUAGGAAUACCCGCUGAACUUAAGCAUAUCAAUAA